rnacentral:rRNA from 1 species
GAUGAACGCUGGCGGCGUGCCUAAUACAUGCAAGUCGAACGAUCGGCGGACGGGUGAGUAAUGUAUGGAGAUCUGCCCGAUAGAGGGGGAUAACUACUGGAAACGGUGGCUAAUACCGCAUACUAUCGGAUUAACCCAUAUGGGCUUUGCUAGUAGGUGGGGUAAAGGCUCACCUAGGCGACGAUCUCGAGCUGGUCUGAGAGGAUGAUGAGCCACAGUGGGACUGCGAAACGGCCCAGCCGCCUACGGAAGGCAGCAGUGGGGAAUAUUGCAAAAUGGGCGAAAGCCGGAUGCAGCAAUGCCGCGUGUAUGAAGAAGGCCUUGGGGUUGUAAAGUACUUUCAGCGGGGAGGCGUUAGCCGAAGAAGAAGCACCGGCUAACUACGUGCCAGCAGCCGCGGUAAUAC